CCCCCCCCUCCCCCCAAAUAAAAAUAUGAAAAUCCUUUGCAGAAAUAAAAAUCAGAAAAAUAGAUAUUUUUGGACCAAAAUUUCAUCUAAUGAUUCCCAUUCUUCCCAAGUUUACUCAGGGGUUCAGACUUUGUGCAAAAACAAAAGAGAUAAAAGAAGAAAUCGGAUUGAAAUGAUGAAAUUCGUUAAGAUUAGCUACCUGGAAGAAGGAGAAGAGAGAAGGGGGGACUUGGGGGGACUAGUGGGCGAACUCACCGGGUUUGGGGCGAGUUCCGGCUAGUUUGGAGGGUGGGAGACGCAGACAGAGCUGGAGGUGGCAGAUUAAAGAGUUGGGUUGAGGAAGGGAUUGGGCUGCCCGAUUUUGGCAUUCUACUUGUGUAAUGAAG
rnacentral:lncRNA from 1 species